rnacentral:lncRNA from 10 species
GUAAGAUGUGGUUUCUCCCCAUGAGCCCUCAAAUCUGCUGCAAAGACAGGAACCCAUAGAUAGCCUUUUCAAUGUGACAACCACAUACUUUGCAUACAGAAACCAUUUAUUUUUCAGAACAAUCCUCUGGGGUAGCUGCUAUUAUUAUCCCCUCUUUAUAGAUAAGGAGAUGGAGGCCCAGAGCAAAAGGCAGGAUGAUUAGAGCUGCAUUCUGUGAAGAUCUCCAUGGCAGCAGGACAUUCAUGACAGACAGGAGAGGCCAGGGAUGAGGAAUGACAAAGCGUUUGGUGACUGCAGUGGGAAUAAAGACAAAGGUUUGGACUCCCAAGGUGCCCCCGUGGAUUGAUGAUCAGUGUGGAGUGUGAGGGCAAGAACACUUCUGCCUGGCUCCCCGGAGAAAGGUCAAGUGACUUUGUUUUUCUUCAACUAAAAAUUGAAGAUUGCACUAAAAGAGUAAUAAACUUUAAAAACUCAUGGCUCCUGGAGUGAAGUUAUCAGCAAUGGAGUAACAACCAUUGAGACUACUUUGCAGAACCAUAUUUCUAAAGCCUCAUAAUUAACUACAAAAUUUGAAAGAGAAACACCUAAGUGGACGUGGUGAGUGAGAUGGGUGGGAACAAUUCUCUGAGAAAGUAGAGUCAGUCCCAUGUUUUGAUGAGAAUUCCUGUGGUACAGCCCUGCUGAACCAAGCUUGGCGGAACAUACUUUUUUUUUUUUUUUUUUUUUUAACAGAAUGAAAGAAGGACAAAUCAUGAAAGAAGACAGAUCUAAAAACAGACAUGAUUGGUAUGCAAAGGGAUGAGUACAGAACACUUGAAGGCUGUGUAUAUCUGAGUAAAACACUUAUUUUCUAAGCCUUCUGUACAGAAUCUUUAUUUCACUGGAUAUAGGCAGCACCCAGAGAACUUUGUGGGGAAAAAGUCAACACAAUAAAGAGAUACUAGAGAAAA